rnacentral:snRNA from 1 species
GUGCUCGCCUUGGCAGCACAUAUACUAAAAUUGGAAUGAUACAGAGAAGAUUAGCAUAGCCCCUGCACAAGGAUGACACACAAAUUCGUGAAACGUUCCAUAUUUUG